GAUUUCUAGAUUUCCACAAAACAUAUCCAACUGGGGGCUUUCCUUUCAGCUUUACCAGCCUCAUUUCCUCCACCGUAAAUUCGGAUGAAUAGAGGAUCGAAAUGCUGCCAGAAUGCAACUACGGGAGAUGAGGAGAGGCAGAAACGCCGUCCUCCAUUUUACAAAGACAGAGCCGCAAGGAAGGAGCUGGAAAAGGGUGCCUCGCUAUGUUUUAUUAGUUUUCUACUGUGUUCCACUGAUUUUUACCAACGUGUGAUAAACAUCCCAAGUCUAUAUUCCACCAGUAAUGGCCUGUGAACUAGGACUCUGCCAGAAGAAAACCUCCGUGGUGGUGCCGGUUCCCAAACUCCUGCUCUGGAGGUGGUUCUAAGGCAUGACCACUGGCUGAACGAGGAAUGUGAAAGCUGCUGUCGGGAAGAAAACUUUGAUCCUCAAGGAAACGUGACUCAACGGACUAAGAACAUCGUCAAGAAUCCUCUAGUCGGUCAGACCUAAAGAGAUGAAGGCCACUCCAACACAUCAGCCAUCCCGAUUUAGCGGUUACUGUUGAGAUGAAUAAAGGACACAAGCAACAAAACUAUUCCAAGG